AAACCAGCUGGCUUGCCAGUUGGGGUUGUAGGACUGCGAUAUAGUACUUGAAGUGAUAGCAGAAUUAUCUGGAAAGAUAAGCCAGAGAGGGUGAGAGCCCCGUACGCGAAAUUGCGGAGAGACUUAGCAGGAUCCUGAGUAGGUCGGGACACGAGGAAUCCCGAUUGAAACCGCGAGGACCAUCUCGCAAGGCUAAAUACUAACUAGUGACCGAUAGUGAACCAGUACCGUGAGGGAAAGGUGAAAAGAACCCCG
rnacentral:rRNA from 1 species